UAGCGGCAGGCCUAACACAUGCAAGUCGAGGGGUAACGAUGGCUUCGGCCAGGCGACGACCGGCGCACGGGUGAGUAUCGCGUUUGUAACCUACCUCUGACUGGAGGAUAGCCCGAAGAAAUUCGGAUUAAUACUCCAUAAUACUAUGGACAGGCAUCUGUUCAUGGUUAAAGCCCCGGCGGUCAGAGAUGGGCAUGCGUGACAUUAGCUUGUUGGUGAGGUAACAGCUCACCAAGGCUACGAUGUCUAGGGGGUCUGAGAGGAUGGUCCCCCACACUGGUACUGAGACACGGACCAGACUCCUACGGGAGGCAGCAGUGAGGAAUAUUGGUCAAUGGGCGAAAGCCUGAACCAGCCAUGCCGCGUGAAGGAUGACAGCCCUAUGGGUUGUAAACUUCUUUUGUACGGGAAGAAACGCUUCUACGUGUAGAGGUUUGACGGUACCGUACGAAUAAGCAUCGGCUAACUCCGUGCCAGCAGCCGCGGUAAUACGGAGGAUGCAAGCGUUAUCCGGAUUUAUUGGGUUUAAAGGGUACGUAGGCGGGAGCUUAAGUCAGUGGUGAAAUCCUGCAGCUUAACUGUAGAACUGUCAUUGAUACUGGGCUUCUUGAAUGUAGUUGAGGUAGGCGGAAUGUGUAAUGUAGCGGUGAAAUGCUUAGAUAUUACACAGAACACCGAUUGCGAAGGCAGCUUACUAAACUACGAUUGACGCUGAGGUACGAAAGCCGUGGGCGAGCGAACACGAUUAGAUACCCUGGUAGUCCACGCUGUAAACGAUGAUCACUCGUUGUUGGCAAUACACCGUCAGCGACUGAGCGAAAGCCUUAAGUGAUCCACCUGGGGAGUACGA
rnacentral:rRNA from 1 species